rnacentral:rRNA from 1 species
UGAGUAAUGCUUGGGAAUAUGCCUUAGGGUGGGGGACAACAGUUGGAAACGACUGCUAAUACCGCAUAACGUCUACGGACCAAAGGGGGCUUCGGCUCUCGCCCUUAGAUUAGCCCAAGUGGGAUUAGCUAGUUGGUGAGGUAAUGGCUCACCAAGGCGACGAUCCCUAGCUGGUUUGAGAGGAUGAUCAGCCACACUGGAACUGAGACACGGUCCAGACUCCUACGGGAGGCAGCAGUGGGGAAUAUUGCACAAUGGGCGCAAGCCUGAUGCAGCCAUGCCGCGUGUGUGAAGAAGGCCUUAGGGUUGUAAAGCACUUUCAGUAAGGAGGAAAGGUUAGUAGUUAAUACCUGCUAGCUGUGACGUUACUUACAGAAGAAGCACCGGCUAACUCCGUGCCAGCAGCCGCGGUAAUACGGAGGGUGCGAGCGUUAAUCGGAAUUACUGGGCGUAAAGCGUACGCAGGCGGUUUGUUAAGCGAGAUGUGAAAGCCCCGGGCUCAACCUGGGAACUGCAUUUCGAACUGGCAAACUAGAGUAUGAUAGAGGGUGGUAGAAUUUCAGGUGUAGCGGUGAAAUGCGUAGAGAUCUGAAGGAAUANCGAUGGCGAAAGGCAGCCACCUGGGUCAAUACUGACGCUCAUGUACG